AUUGAACGCUGGCGGCAGGCCUAACACAUGCAAGUCGAACGGAGCGGCGGACGGGUGAGUAAUGCCUAGGAAUCUGCCUGGUGGUGGGGGAUCACGUCCGGAAACGGGCGAUAAUACCGCAUACUAUAAGAUGAGCAUAGGUCGGAUUAGAUUGUAGGUGAGGUAACGGCUCACCUAGGCGACGAUACCUAGCUGGUCUGAGAGGAUGACCAGCCACACUGGAACUGAGACACGGUCCAGACUCCUACGGGAGGCAGCAGUGGGGAAUAUUGCAAAAUGGGCGCAAGCCUGAUGCAGCCAUGCCGCGUGUAUGAAGAAGGCCUUCGGGUUUUAAAGUACUUUAAGUUGGGAGGCGUUACCAACAGAAUAAGCACCGACUAACUUCGUGCCAGCAGCCGCGGUAAUAC
rnacentral:rRNA from 1 species